CAACACUGGUUUCAUUUCCUUUGGAUGUAAAACCAGGAGUGGGAUUGCUGGAUCACAUGUUCCUUGAGGUACUGUGAUAAGUUGUUUAAGAUCUUCAUGCUUUUUUGAUGUAGACAUGGAUAGUAAUGACUGGAUUCUUACUACUGCUUUUGAUGCAUCCUAUUAAAGAUAUAAACUGUUGGGACACUGUUUACAGUAUAAGAGCAUUCUGAAUUUGUCUGAAUAGUCACAUUUACCAGGAUGUAAUGUGCAGAGCAAAAAGAAGACAACAGGAUGUGAGGAACAAAUGAGGAUGCUCUAAAGAUCCCCUGGUUGGAGCUAUCUCCUCAAACCCUUGCUGCCCAGUACUACCAGCACAUCACACAAAACUGCACAACUUUGUUGGGAGCCAUGAAUCAACCUGCCAGGGGCUGGAGGCAAUGAGAGACAAGGAGACUGUGUACCUGGGCAAGGACAUCCAUUAUGGUUAUCAGAAUGACCCUAAGCCUUUGGCAAAGAUCAAGUGGAGCUGUGAGCAAAUUCUUCCUGGCUCUAAGGAGUGAGCACAUUCAUAAGCUGGAGGCACAGACUGAUGAGGUGUGCAACUUCCUGUCUCCUUGGUGAAUGCCUCAGAAAACAUGCAUUUGGGGAUUUUAAAAUUUUCCACUCACUGUUGCCUUGCAAAGCUCACAGAAGGUUGAAUGAGAUGAGCUUGGUUAGGGGAUGGCAGACCUGGGGGAGGCUCACAGCCUCUUCCUUGCUUUCCCAAUAACUCACAGAGACCAGUGACCUUUGCAUCCCAUCAGCCUCUGGGGAAAGGAGUGUGACUCCUUAAAAUCACAGACCCAAAGCAUCUGAAAACCAGAAGGUAUUUCAUGCAGGUCGAUGACUAAAACCCUCUGGGGAAACAAAUGUCUAUUUUCUUACAAAAAUAUCUCUUAGAACAGCAUCUCUUCUGUUCAUCCUCAAGAUGAGGCUGUUUAAUUACUUCAGAGAGUUUCAUUCUGACCUUUCUGUGGCCAGGGUAUCAGUUCUUUCCUCUUUCUCUCCUCAUGGUUCCUGGGCCCCCACUGCUACAGCUUCUAUUUCUACAAGUCCCCUUAAAAUCCUGGCGCUUCAGAGUCUUUAGUUUUUCUCACUGUUUAAUUUGGAUCAGUGGGUCUUAGACUUCUCUGAUGACAAUCAACUUUUAAAAGAAUUGUAUGAAUUUUCUUACCUGUAAAAUUCACAAUCGCAUCAAAAAUAUUGUAGGGAAAUUCAGGGGUUACAAGUCCACUGAAGUGCUCCCAAAGCACUCCAGAGGAUCCAUGUCUGAAAAUCCAGAUGCAGUCCCAGCACCCAGAAGCUUGUCUCACCCAUGGAGCUAGGUCUCAGGAUUACUCGUAGCUUGCUGGCCCUCACAAUGAGGCCCUGUUAUUUCCUCAAGGGACAUGAACAACCCCACCAAAGACCAACAUCAGCAACGUGAAUACACCUAUUUAAAGUGUUCAGUCAGGAGUUUUAGUUCAUUCAGAGUUGUGCAACCAUCACAGAGAAUUUUAUAACAUUUUUUUUCCAUCUCAAAAAAGAAAUGCAGCUGUCAUCCCCAAUCAGCCCUUUCCCCCAGUGCAAGCAACCACUUAUCUGCUUUCUCUAUUUUCCAUUUCUUUAACAUUUCCUAUGAAGGGAAUCUUAGCAUAUAUGUUUUCUCUCUGUGCAUGUAACUUUCUUCUUUCAGUUAGCAUAGAAUUUUCAGGUUCAUCCAUGUUGUAGCUUGUAUCAAUGUGUUAUUCUUUUUCUUGGAAAAAUAAUAUUGAAUUGUAUUGGAUAUAUUGCAUUAUUUCAUUCAUUAAUUGGUGGACAUUUGUGUUGCAUCUAUUUUUGCUAACGCCCAACUUCGAGUGAACUGAAUCCCUGCUUUCUUAAAUUCUUUUCAAAUUCAUCCAACUAAAGCCCAAACUGUUUAAUAGGUCCUUAUUAAAAAUAUAUUUUUUUAGUUGUUAAUUAACCAUCAUUUUCUUUAUUUAUAUGUGGUGCUGAGAAUCGAAACCAGUGCCUCACACAUGCUAGGCAAGUGCCCUACCACUGAGCCACCACCCGGGCCCCAUUUUUAAACUCUUUUAUAGGGAUACCCACAGUUUUCCACAUUACUUGUCACAGUUUAUGCAAUGAGGAACAAAUUCAAUUCCAUGCUGGUCUUUGGCUGGAGGACAUUGACACACAUAUUCUAAGUUAUAGAUCCUUGCUCCAAAGUCUACAUGUGGCCUGACUUGUGCCAUUUGUGUCCCUGGCCUUAAUAACCAAUGAAAUGUUGUUAGUUUUUCAAUGAAUAUGCUCAGGUCUCAUUUCUCACUACCUACUAGGACACUGUGAUGUCCUAUAGGUACCUCAAAUGCAAACGACAAAAAUAAAUGUUGAUUCUGAAAUUGUA